CAGUAGCCGCGGUAAUACGUAGGGUGCAAGCGUUAAUCGGAAUCACUGGGCGUAAAGCGUGCGCAGGCGGUUAUAUAAGACAGAUGUGAAAUCCCCGGGCUCAACCUGGGAACUGCAUUUGUGACUGUAUAGCUAGAGUACGGCAGAGGGGGAUGGAAUUCCGCGUGUAGCAGUGAAAUGCGUAGAUAUGCGGAGGAACACCGAUGGCGAAGGCAAUCCCCUGGGCCUGUACUGACGCUCAUGCACGAAAGCGUGGGGAGCAAACAGGAUUAGAUACCCCCGUAGUCCCUGUCUCUUAUAC
rnacentral:rRNA from 1 species